AUUGAACACUGGCGGCAUGCCUUACACAUGCAAGUCGAACGGCAGCGGGGGAGAAGCUUGCUUUUCCUGCCGGCGAGUGGCGAACGGGUGAGUAAUACAUCGGAACGUGCCCUGUAGUGGGGGAUAACUAGUCGAAAGAUUAGCUAAUACCGCAUACAACCUGAGGGUGAAAGUGGGGGACCGCAAGGCCUCAUGCUAUAGGAGCGGCCGAUGACUGAUUAGCUAGUUGGUGGGGUAAAGGCCUACCAAGGCGACGAUCAGUAGCUGGUCUGAGAGGACGAUCAGCCAAACUGGGACUGAGACACGGCCCAGACUCCUACGGGAGGCAGCAGUGGGGAAUUUUGGACAAUGGGCGAAAGCCUGAUCCAGCAAUGCCGCGUGUGUGAAGAAGGCCUUCGGGUUGUAAAGCACUUUUGUCCGGAAAGAAAUGGCUCUGGUUAAUACCUGGGGUCGAUGACGGUACCGGAAGAAUAAGGACCGGCUAACUACGUGCCAGCAGCCGCAGUAACAC
rnacentral:rRNA from 1 species